GUGCUUGCUUUGGCGGCAUGCAUAAAAAAAUUGGAAUGAUAAAGAUGACCCUGGCCCCUGUGCAAGGUUUCACCCAAAUUCAUGAUGAUCUCAUAUUUAUC
rnacentral:snRNA from 1 species